rnacentral:rRNA from 1 species
AAAUCCCAAGGCUCAACCUUGGAACUGCCUUUGAUACUGGAAGUCUCGAGUCCGGGAGAGGUGAGUGGAACUGCGAGUGUAGAGGUGAAAUUCGUAGAUAUUCGCAAGAACACCGGUGGCGAAAGCGGUUUUCUAGCUUAUACCUGACGCUGAGGCGCGAAAGCUAGGGGGGCGAACAGGAUUAGAUACCCUGGUAGUCCUAGCCGUAAACGAUGUAUACUGGGUGUAGCCGGACUCAACCCCGGAUGUGCCGAAGCUAACGCAUUAAGUAUACCGCCUGGGGAGUACGCUCGCAAGGGUGAAACUCAAAAGAAUUGACGGGGACCCGCACAAGCAGUGGAGCAUGUGGUUUAAUUCGAUGCAACGCGAAGAACCUUACCUGGGCUUGACAUGGAUAGGACAGCUCUGGAAACAGAGUCUCCCUUCGGGGCCUAUACACAGGUGCUGCAUGGCUGUCGUCAGCUCGUGCCGUGAGGUGUUGGGUUAAGUCCCGCAACGAGCGCAACCCUUGUCACUAGUUGCCAACAGUUCGGCUGGGAACUCUAGUGAGACUGCCUGGGUUAACCAGGAGGAAGGUGAGGAUGACGUCAAGUCCGCAUGGCCCUUAUGUCCAGGGCUACACACGUGCUACAAUGGUCGAUACAGAGGGAAGCCAAACCGCGAGGUGGAGCAAAUCUCAAAAAGUCGGCCCCCGUUCGGAUUGUAGUCUGCAACUCGACUACAUGAAGUCGG